AACUACACCCACAGACAGACAGGUACACAAAAUACAAACACUGAGAAAGAAAGAAAAGACAACUGUCGUGCAUAGAGAAUAUCUAUUGUCGAUCUCUAUUAAUGGGCAACUUGUUCUUCAUCCCCAAACAUCCUCCUCCUCCUCCGCCUCCUUCGCAUGUCCAUAGCAUUCAUCACCCUCUCUCUAAUGCUCCAUCUUUCAUGAAUGGUCCGAAUGGAUUCAUGAUGGCACACACAUUGUGCACAGAGACGAGGCUACCUCUUGAUGAGGAACAGAUGCGGGAGCUGAUGAAGACGAUCGAUAAAAAGAAGAGCGAGCAGUGAUACUAAGGUAGUGGCUCAGUGUUAAGUGUUACUCCCUCCGUUUCAUAAUAAUGACUUACAUUGUGAAACGGAGGAAGUAACGAAUAAAGGGAAGACAGGUCGGCCGUACAUAAUCUGCCGCUAGCUUACCGAAGAAUUAAUUAUAAGAUGAUCAAUCAACUCUGCAGUCUAGCUAGUUGGAGAGAAGAGAUUAUACUACUUUGUAUCGUUAGAAAUAAACAAAAGAAAACUACAAAUUAUAUCUUUGACAUGAUAUGGUUUGUCUCUGAGGUUCAUAGCUACCACUCGUUGUAAAGUGUCAUCUAAUUUAAGCUAAUUUAUGUUUAGCUAGUAUACAAACA